AAUCUUCUGCAAUUUACGAAAGUCUGACGCAGCGCUGCGGCGUGUGUGAUUAAGGUCUCCGGAUCGUAUAACUCUGUUGUCAGGGAAGAACAAGUAUCGGAGCAAUAUGCGGGUACCUUGACGGUACCUAACCAGCAAGCACCGGCUCACUACGUGCCAGUAGCCGCGGUAAUACGUAGGGGGCAAGUGUUGUCCGGAAUUAUUGGGCGUAAAGGGCACGAAGGAGGUUAUUUAAGUCUGAUGUGAAAUCUUGUGGCUUAACCACAAGCGGUCAUUGGAAACUGGAUAACUUGGGUACAGAAGAGGAAAGUGGAAUUCCACGUGUGGCGGUGAAAUGCGUAGAGAUGUGGAGGAACACCAGUGGCGAAGGCGGCUCUCUGGUCUGUAACUGACGCUGAGGAGCGAAAGCGUGGGUAGCGAACA
rnacentral:rRNA from 1 species